CUCAUUUCAUUUAUGGGCCGAAAGUUACCCCAUUAAGGAUUCGUUUGGGAUUGCAGAGAUAUUGCGUUACGUGCGGUGAAAAAGUAUGUUGGAAAAAUACUAUGUUUAUUUCCGUACCUAAUAUUGCGUUCCGCAUAUCGCGAUGAGUCGGUUACAAUAUAUUUUCUGCGGUCCCACCGGAGAACGCAGAAGUAUAUCCCUAUAUACUUUUUCCUCAACUCCAUACUAUUUAAUAGCGUUAGAUAGGCCUCAAUACCAAACUAAGCCUAAAUGAUAUUAAACCAUGUGUGUGUAUAGAGUUAGGCUGGUAUAUUAUCGGCAGUACGGAGGAUUCUGUCCUACCAAGUUGUUUUUCAAUGAUAUGGCUUCCAAAUCGACGAAGCGGAGCGGGUCUUGUCGACGCAGAGCAGCGCGGCGGUGUUGCCGGCACUGCGGAGGAAGAAGAGGGCGGCAAUAGUAGCUACCGAGGAAGAAGAGGGAGGAAGAAGAAAGGUAAAAUUAUCUAUUCACGUUAUUAAUUAAUUAUAGUUAAGUAUUUUACCUGUGAUUAAUUAAAAUUUUCUAACGGAUCCUAACGGCAGGGACAUAUCUGAAUACAUUAGAACUUUUGCAAGAAUAAUUUAUAAAAGUUGAACUUUGUAGGAAUAUAUAUGCAAUUCAUUAUGUUUGUGAGAACCUGUAUACAAUUAACCCAAAUUUUUAAU
rnacentral:lncRNA from 1 species